rnacentral:rRNA from 1 species
GUAAGGUAACGGCUUACCAAGGCAACGAUACGUAGCCGACCUGAGAGGGUGAUCGGCCACACUGGAACUGAGACACGGUCCAGACUCCUACGGGAGGCAGCAGUAGGGAAUCUUCCGCAAUGGGCGAAAGCCUGACGGAGCAACGCCGCGUGAGUGAUGAAGGUCUUCGGAUCGUAAAGCUCUGUUAUUAGGGAAGAACAUGUGCGUAAGUAACUGUGCGCAUCUUGACGGUACCUAAUCAGAAAGCCACGGCUAACUACGUG